GAUGAACGCUGGCUACAGGCUUAACACAUGCAAGUCGAGGGGAAACGACGGGGAAGCUUGCUUCCCCGGGCGUCGACCGGCGCACGGGUGAGUAACGCGUAUCCAACCUGCCUCUGACUGAGGGAUAACCCGUCGAAAGUCGGCCUAAUACCUCAUGGCAUCGUCUGCGGGCAUCCAACGACGAUUAAAGAUUUCAUCGGGCAGGGAUGGGGAUGCGUCUGAUUAGCUAGUUGGCGGGGUAACGGCGCACCAAGGCGACGAUCAGUAGGGGUUCUGAGAGGAAGGUCCCCCACAUUGGAACUGGGACACGGUCCAAACUCCUACGGGAGGCAGCAGUGAGGAAUAUUGGUCAAUGGGCGAUAGCCUGAACCAGCCAAGUAGCGUGCAGGAUGACGGCCCUAUGGGUUGUAACCUGCUUUUAUGCGGGGAUAAAGUGAGGGACGUGUCCUUCAUUGCAGGUACCGCAUGAAUAAGGACCGGCUAAUUCCGUG
rnacentral:rRNA from 1 species